AUGUUGAAAGGUCUUUUAGAGGUGGCGGCAAGAGGUGCCAAGACUGACAAAGGAUUCAAAGAAGCUGCAAAAUUGAAAGUUGCAAAUUGUAUAUCUGCUUUCGUUGGUUAUGACAUGUCUAUUACUCAAGUGCAUAAUCAUAUUCGCAAGUGGCAGAAUAGGUGGACAAGGAUUGUUUAUUUGAAGAGUUUAAGUGGGGCACUUUGGGAUGAUGACAAGAAGGUGGUACUUCUAGAAGAACAACACUAUUUGGGCCACACUCAGGAUCAUCCAACAGAUGCUGAACUUCUCAACUCCCCACUAGAGAACUACAACUAUAUGGAAAAUUGCUUUGCUAAUAAGAAAGCUACCGGGAAUUAUGCAAUGGCCAUCAGUGUGCCACUGGGAACGCCUAUUGUUGUGUAAGACAAAGAUAAACCCAAUGUCAUGGAGGGGCAUGGAACAACUGAUGAGGUACUGCAACAUCUUCCUGGGUCCAACUCCGUACUUCCAACUGCUAGUGCCACUCAGGACCCUUCACCUACUUCAAAUAAGAGGAGAAAGAGGGCAUCCGUUUUGACUGAGGAGGACACAAUCCAGUGCAGCAACAUGGCUGAUGCUAUGCGUGAGAUUGCAAGUGCUACCAACAACACUUGCCAUGCUGAAACACACCCUGACUUGUACAAGGCUGUCAUGGACCUUAUUGUGUUUGAUCAAAAUGAUCACUUGGCUGUUCUAGAUUAUCUCACGGAACAUAAGGCAAAAGGCCUCAACUUUGUGAAGAUGAAUGAUGAAGUCCGUCAAGCAUCGUUCAAAAUGUAUCUUGAAAGCCAAUCCGAAUCUUCUUUCAGUUCGUGUUAG
rnacentral:rRNA from 1 species